rfam:Actinomyces sp. CtC 72 NODE_42_length_21189_cov_18.7965_ID_83, whole genome shotgun sequence.
GUUGCCGCCGGGCGGAGCGGGUCACGAGGGAAUGGGGAGCCCAGUGACUGACCCGCCUCCGAGACGGGACGGGUACAUGGGAGCCCGCGCCGCGUCGUCCCGGCGAAGGAG